GACGAACGCUGGCGGCGUGCUUAACACAUGCAAGUCGAGCGGUAAGGCCCUUUCGGGGGUACACGAGCGGCGAACGGGUGAGUAACACGUGGGUGACCUGCCCUCAGCUCUGGGAUAAGCCUGGGAAACUGGGUCUAAUACCGGAUAUGACUCCAUGACGCAUGUUGUGGGGUGGAAAGCCUUGUGCGGCUGAGGAUGGGCCCGCGGCCUAUCAGCUUGUUGGUGGGGUGANGGCCUACCAAGGCGACGACGGGUAGCCGGCCUGAGAGGGCGACCGGCCACACUGGGACUGAGACACGGCCAGACUCCUACGGGAGGCAGCAGUGGGGAAUCUUGCGCAAUGGGCGAAAGCCUGACGCAGCGACGCCGCGUGAGGGAUGACGGCCUGGUGUAACUAC
rnacentral:rRNA from 1 species